ACCACCAGCCAUACCAGCUGCAGUUCUGACCCAGUAAUCAUCUGAAGCUAAGCAGGUAUGAGUCUGGCCAGUACUUAGAUGGGAGACCAGCUAGGAUGACUGGGUUACUGCUAGAA
rnacentral:rRNA from 1 species